ACCCAUCUGGGAUAGCUGGGUGAGUAGAGCAUGGGACUCUUAAUCCCAGGGUUGUGGGUUUGAGCCCCAUGUUGGGCA